AAAAGACAAAGGAAGGAAGGAAGGAAGGAAGGAAGGAAGGAAGGAAGGAAGGAAGGAAGGAAGGAAGGAAGGAAGGAAGGAAGGAAGGAAGGAAGGAAGGAAGGAAGGAAGGAAGGAAGGAAGGAAGAGAGAGAAAGAAAGAAAUUCUCUGGGCAAGAGUGGGAGGAGAGUACAAUAUGUGAUAUAAAAUUGGAUUACAACAAAAGAUACCUAGGAAUGGUGAGGUGAUAGUGCUAUUGUUCUCUACUAUUGACCUUAAUCUGCAUUAAUGGCUUCAGUUCUGAAUUACAUAGAUUGAUAACCUGGAGAAUGUCCAGAGGUAGGAAACCAAGAUGGUAGAAGACCUUCAGAUCAUGGUGAAUGAAGAUCAAUUGGCUAAACUAUUAAGACAAAAAGAUGUCUUAGGGGGCAAAUGAUAGCCAUCUUUAAGUUUUGAAGGGAAUUAGAUUUGUGCUUUUUGACCCUGGAUGAUUGAACUUGGAUCAGUGAGUUGAAGUUGCAAAGAAGCCCAUCUAGGCUUGAUCUCAGGAAAAUGUCCUAAAUAAUAGAGAUGCCCCAGACUGUCUCAGAGGUAAUGGAUUCCUCUUCUUUAUUUAAAAGUUCUUGAAGUCGAGGUUAGAGGACCAUUUUCACAUGCUAUAGUAGGAAUAAUGUGUAUUGUACUAUAUGAUCACUGAGAUACCUUCCAACUCUCAGAUUUGAUGAUUCCCUGAUUCAAUUCUUUGUUUUGUCAACUACUAGCAAUGUAACACUGAAAAAGUCAAUUAAGUUACUUGAGCUUUAGUGGGUCCUCAUCUGUGAAAUAGGCAUGAUAAUACUUGAGCUUCCUACAUCAUAAAACUAUUAUGAGGAUCAAAUGAGAUAAUGUAUGUAAAAUGCUUUGUAAACUGUGAAGCAACAUAUAAAUGUCAUCUGUUAUUAUUAACAUAUUACUAUGUUGAAGUGAUUCAUUUACUGAUUGGAAGGUUGGAUUAGAUAACCUCAAAAGCUCCUGCCAAGUCCAAGGUGAAAUGGCUCAGUUAUUCUAAUUAAUUUUAAGCAUUAUCAUAUAGUCAGGAAGGGUAGCAUAGCAUAAUGGUUAAUAAGCCAGCUUCAGAACUAGCAUGAUUUAAAUCCUACCUCUGAUACAUUUUGCCCAUGUGACCCUAUAAAGUCACUUGACCUCUGGCUACUUUAGACAAUUUUCAAAGACUAUUAUUUACAGAGAAUAAGCUCAACAGCAUCUACAGAAGGGACCUGAAUCAAGGUCUAAUCCCUAUCAAUAAUAGACUCAUGCCAAUAAUUAUUUAAAUUUCAUAGAAUCAUCUUUAUUACUAAAGAUUCUGAUUAGAUCCAAGUUAAAUCCAACUGAGUAAGGAUUUAUCCAACAUCUGUUGAAUUCAUAAUGCUUUUCUAAACACUGUGCAAGAUAGAAGGCUAAAAUUUGACCCCAUGUCUGCCUUCAUGGAGUUCACAGUAUAAAUAAAUGGAUAUUACAGUAGUUUCA
rnacentral:lncRNA from 1 species